rnacentral:lncRNA from 1 species
UCAUCACAUUUUAUUUAAAUUUAUCUUUGUCAUGAUGUGAAAAUUGAUGUAGAGGGAAAAGAAUUAUAAAAUUAUAUUCUUCCCUUCUUUUUGACAAGACAAAGGGAGAGAAAGAACUCACUAGCUUGUAUAUUCUAAAAUGAUGUAAAAUUUGCUAGCUUGCAUGAUACAAAAUUUGUUAGCUUGCUUGAUAUAAAACUUGCUAUCUUGUAUUCUUUUUCGAAAACUUGCUAACCUUCAU